rnacentral:rRNA from 1 species
UACAGGGGGGGGCAAAGCGUUGUUCGGAAUUACUGGGCGUAAAGGGCUCGUAGGUGGCCAACUAAGUCAGACGUGAAAUCCCUCAGCUUAACUGGGGAACUGCGUCUGAUACUGGAUGGCUUGAGUUUGGAGAGGGAUGCGAAUUCCAGGUGUAGCGGUGAAAUGCGUGAGAUAUCUGGAGGAACACCGGUGGCGAAGGCGGCAUCCUGGACCAACACUGACACUGAGGAGCGAAGCCAGGGGAGCAAACGGG